GAGAAAAGAGAGGAGUCCUAGUUAUGACUCUUCUUAACCCAAAAAGAUGGAAGACGAUAUAAAGGGAACGUUCUCUCUUCUGUCGAAUUUCAAGGUGUUCAUAACCAAACCCAACAGUCAAAAUGAUGACAUUUCAAGCUCCACAAGUAAAGGCUUCCUCUAACCCUGCUGAAAUGAAAAGAAAGCGCGGAAAAACGACUGGAAAGGGUAUGAUUAAGAUGAUUGCUAGGACUUGCAACGAGAAGAUGGAGAUAAUAUUUGACCGGAUCUAUGGGGUAUGAGGCCGAGAGAGGAUUGGCAAUGACUAUGUGAUAAACUCUACACCAAUCCAAAGUAUAUUGAAAAAUGCAACAAGAAUUCAGCUAGCCGAAGAAACAAAAGAGUAUGAAUCGUGGGGGAGCUGUGCCUUUCAUUUAACAUGCCUUAAGGAGAGCCAAGAGAUGAAGAUAGUGUCAAACAAUGCAGACAAUUUGGAACAUGAGGAAUUUGAUGAAG